rnacentral:rRNA from 1 species
UACAGAGGGUGCAAACGUUGCUCGGAAUUAUUGGGCGUAAAGCGCGUGUAGGCGGCUUGUUAAGUUGGUUGUGAAAACCCAUGGCUCAACCAUGGAAGGGCGUCCAAAACUGGCAAGCUAGAGUCCUGACGAGGAUGGCGGAAUUCCCAGUGUAGAGGUGAAAUUCGUAGAUAUUGGGAGGAACACCGGUGGCGAAGGCGGCCAUCUGGGAAGGCACUGACGCUGAGACGCGAAAGCGUGGGGAGCAAAC